ACUCUGAUUGCAGGUGCCAGUGGGGACAUUGUGGUGACCCAGUCUCCAGCCUCUCUGGCUAAGUCUCAAGGAGAAACGGUCACCAUCAACUGCAAGGCCAGCCAGAGUGUGAGCAGCUACUUAGCCUGGUACCAGCAGAAACCAGGACAGGCUCCUAAGCAGCUCAUCUAUGCUGCAUCCAGCCGGGCAUCUGGGGUCCCUGACCGGUUCAGUGGCAGUGGGUCUGGGACAGACUUCACUCUCAGCAUCAGCAGCCUCCAGGCUGAGGAUGAGGCAGAUUAUUGCUGUUAGCAACAUUAUAGCUACCCUCUCACAGUGCUUCAGCCUGGAACACAAGCCUCCUCACCAGGGCUGCAGGCCUGUGACUCUUCAAUGCACCUGCUGCUUCCUUCCCACACAGUCCUGAACAUGCACACUUCCUCUGUCUGCCCCACACGCCUCAUCUCCUCACUAAUUCCUUGGGCUCUUGAUGCAAGUAAGAGCCACGGACUUUUCUAAACUCCUUUUUCUGGGACAUUACUGUAGAAAAAUGCUGUAAACAUUUCUUAUAGCCUUUGUCAUGUCAGGGAUUUUCAUAGUACAGAAACCUGCAUGUUUCAUAUGGCUAGAUCACAAGACUCAUCUGGAGAAGCACUCAGUGAGUUUAACACCCUGAGAGAUGAGUUCUCUCUUCCCUGUGCUAUCUUGACUGUAGAAUAUUCCCAAUUUAAUUCCUUCUUUCCCUGGCUUUUUCCUUUCUCUGUAAUUACCCCUUAACUCUUGACUUUCCCAAGACUAAAUCUUUAACCCUUCAUAUUCUGGACCUCCCCCGUAGAAGGUAGUAUUCCUCUCUUUCUUUUUCCUUCAACUGGUCCCCUUUUUUGGCCAGACCUUUCUGGUCAAUGCAACUGAUGGUGUUUUUUUGUUCUACCUCCUUUUUUAUUGACCUUCCUCUUCUCCAUUUCUUUCAGUGGUAUUCAUUCUUUCAAAAGCUAGUGUCUAAUUCAUCAAAGCUACCACUCUAUAAAUAUGUGAUAUUAUUCCCACAUCUUUUUUCAUUAACUGACAACUUUGGGUUCACCCCCUGGGCAACCCAGUCUAAUUUGUUGACUGGAGGAAAUCAUGGUCCUUUUUUGUUGUUAGCUGCUAUGGUUCCUACAACAAUGGUGAUUUCAUGCAGAAUGGGAUCGGGUCAUGGUGAUUCAUAGGGUUGUCACUGGCUCAUUUUUCUAUGUUGAUUUCCAGGCCUUUCUUCCUAGCUGGUCUUAGUCUGGAAGUUUCCCUAAAAUCUGUUCAACCUCAUAGCAAUAUGCAAGCCUCCACUGACAGAGGAGUAAUGCCUGUGUUUGAGGACCAAUGGCUAGGCAUCAAACCCAGGUCUCCUGCAUGGAGGCAAGAAUUCUACCACUGAACCAUCGCUGCCAUCCAAGGUUCUUUGUUCAGCUAUAGCUGAAUUCUUCUGACAACAUUUAAUUAACAUUCUCAUCUCAGUGUAAUAAUACAAAAACUCCAGGUAUUCUAGUGUUACUUCUGUAUCUCCUUCUGAAAUACAUGUAUUGAUAAAAUUUGGCAUCAGAGUCAUCUCAAAAAAACUUGAUCAGUAUACUGUGAACAUUCUUAUGUAUAUUACAGCACCUUUUCUCUAACAAUGAGAAAUAUUUUCAAAGAAUGGAUGUUAAAGUUUCCAUGUCAUUUAUUCACUCAAGAUAUAUAAAUUGAGAGCUUACUAUCUGUCAGACUCAGAUACAUUGCUUUCAUCCUAGAUGAGGAAGAGGGAAAAUUAACACAUAGAUAAGAAAAAAUUUACUAAGUAAUUUUGUAACUGGCAUGAAGAAAAAUAAAGAGGGGGAAGGAAUAAGAGCUUGUUGGUGUAAAAUGUUGUCUUUGUUAUCUUGUGCUGUUAUAACAGAAAUAUCACAAGGGGAUGGGUUUACUGAAGUGAAGUUUAUUCUCUCACAGCCUAGGAGGCUAGAAGUCCGAAUUAAGAAUCCCACCUCUAUUAGGAGGCUUUCUAGCUCUGUCGACUCUGGAGAAAGGUCUUUGUCUUCAACCUUCCUCUGGUCUAGGAGCUUCUCAGCACAGGGACACCCAGUCCAAAGAACGAGCUCUCCUCCUGGCUCUUCACUCUUGGUGGUAGAAGUCUCUAGUCUCUGCUCAAGUCUCUCUGUUAUAUUUCAAAAGAGAUCAAGUCAAGCUAAACCUAAUCCUGUAGUUUUAUCCUUGCCUCAUUAAUGUAACUGCCUCUAAUCCUGCCUCAUUAACAUCAUAGAUGUAGGAUUUAUAACACAUAGAAGAAUCCCAUCAGAUCAAAAAAUCUUGGACAACCAGACAAUACUGGAAAUUAUGGCCUAGCCAAGUUGACAUACAUCUUUGUGGGACACCCUUCAGUCCACAACAGAUGAGUAGCAAUUUCAAUAAGGAUGAUGCAUCAGUUAGCUCUUGCCAUCCACAUAAAUCAUCCACAAAACCCAGUGGCUAAAAGCAAUAAGCAUUUUUAUUGCUUUCAUGUUUCCUGGUGAGUUGGACCAAUAAAGAGUUCUGUUGAUAUGGACCAGUCUUGAGUGAUCUUGUCUGGAAAGUUCAUGCAUUUACAGUUAGUUAUCUGGCAGGUCACCUGGGUGCUAGCUCAUCUAGAAAGGCUCAGGUAACUUUCACAUGUCUGUAGUUGGCUGACUGUCAGAUGUGGCUAUUGAGGUGACUUGGUCACAUUUCUCUCAACACUUGGCAGACUGAAACUAGUUUGUUGUGAUAGCAAUUGGCAGAAUUCCAAGAGAGUAAGUAAAAACACAUAAGUACCGUUGAAGUCUAGGUUCAAUACUGGCACAGUGUCUCUUUUGCUGCAUGUUAUCUAUCAACACAAUUCACACAACCAACUCUUAUUGAAGGAGAGGGCAAAUAGCACUUAUCCCCUAAUAGGAGCAGCUACAAAGUCAUAUCACCAGUAGUAUGGAAAGAGGAAGGGAUAAAGAAUUGGGGUGUUUUUGCAAUUGUUCGACAAUAGAUGGUGAUGGAAGGCUGCACUGAGAAGGAAUGAACUGAUCAAAGUCUCAAUGUUGGUGAGAAAAUGAGUCAUAGAAAUAUCUCCAGGCAAAAGUGUUGUAGUUAGAGGAAAUCACACAUUUCUGAGGCAGAAAUGUAACCAGCAUGUUGGGAAAGAGGGAAGGAAGCCAGUGUUGGUGAAGCAGCAUUGUGAAGGGUAGUGUGGGUGAUAAGGACAAAACAAUAAUGAAGGGGCUCUUUUUGUAGGAUUUGUAAGCUACAUUAAGGAUUUUCUUUUCAUUUUAAAGGAUGUGAUAAUGACUGGAAUAGUUCUCAAAAGAGGACAUGAUUUGUUUUGUAGUUUAACAGGAACUCUUUGGAGGACAAGGGCAGGAGAAGUAUCAGUUAGCUGGCCAUUACCAUCAUGCAGGUAGAAAGGACAAUUGCUUCAGUGAUGGUUGUAGCAGUGGAGGGGAUGAGGAGUGGCAUAUUUUGAAAAUAGAUAUACAAUAUUGUAAUCUGACAAGGGUGAGUCCUGCUCCCUGUGACCCUUCAAUUCAGUUGAGAGACACCAGGUCUUUGAGAAAGAUAACCUAGACUUUACUGCAAGCCAGCCAAGCAAGGAGUUCAGAGACCAAAUCUCAAAUCAAGCUCCCUAAACCUGGGGAUUCUAGGGCAACUGUAUGGUUAUGCAGAGCUCAUGAAAUUUCUGAGAAUAUGCUGGCAAUUUCAGGAACUAGACACCAUCUAUCAGAGUGCAUUUGGGGUGCAAUAUGGCAGCAGGAAGGAAAACUUUGUGGCUAAUUGCCUAUGUCUGAAUGGAGGGGGUGAGGCAGUGGGUGCUGAAGUGGCCUUGAGAAGAGGACCAUUAUACAGAAUGCUUCCUCAGGAGCUCACAGACCUGGGUAUGAUGGGAGCAGGGAGAACAGUUUAACCCUGUCAGUUACGGUAUCCUGAAGAUUUUGUCAAAGAGCAUAAGAAGUCUCGAGGUGACUUCAAGAUUUUGCUCUGAGUAAGUAGAAGGGCAGAGUUGACAAUUUUUCAGAUAGGAGAGACCUUGGGAGGAGUGGAUUUGGCUAGGAAAAUCAGGAAUUUUAGGUUUGAGUUGUGUACUAGACCUCCACAUGUGAGUGUCAAGUAGAAAAUUGGACUUGAAUUUGGAGUUCAACAGAGAGAUAUGGACUGAAGAAUUAAAUCUAAUAAGCAAUGAAAGGAGUAUUUCAUAGAUGGAGGGCAAAAGAUGCCCAGGGUCUGAGAUUUCAGGCAAGGGAGACAAGGAGGAACCAGCAAAGGAGUCGGAGAAGGAGCAGUGUGGACGGAAAACAAAAAGUGUGAUGCCUGGGAGCUCAGUGAGGAGACUGUAUUAAGGAGGAAGUUGUCGUCAAUGUGUUUAAUGUCACUGAGGUAUUUGUUAAGAGGACUCAAAAGUGGCCACUGGAUUGGUCAGUGUGGAAGUCUUCAGUGGCUUUGAGUAGAGCAGUUUCUAUGAGAAAAAGGUGGGGUUAACUACUUCAAUGGAGGGAGCCCAAGGGAGUAUGAAAAGAGACAGUCUGGGUUUGGUGACUACAUACAAUUGUUUCAAUGAGCUUUAAGGUAAAGGAGAAGAGUGAAAGAGGACUUAACUGGAGGGAGAUGUGAAAUCAAAAGAUUUUUUGAAAAAAUACUGUUUCAUGCUGAUAGGAAUGAUGCUAAAGUGAGGGGAACAUGGAUAGUUUAGAAAAGAGAGGUGAAGAAUUCCAAGAGAUACCCUUGGAAGGGACAGCAGUAUAGGACCAGAAGGCCUGGCCUCAGGUAGGAGGGCUAUCUGCUUAUCUACAGUAAUAGGAAGGAAGGAGGGAAGGAAGGAAGGAAGUAAAGCAGCACAUGGGGGCGUAGACGCCUGUGGAUCAGAAGAUGCAUGAGAGAAGCUAGUGGAAGCUCUUCCAAAAAACAAUGAGCUCAUUUGCUGAAAGGUAGGAUGAGAAGUCGGUGCUACAACUUGAAGAAAAAAGAGAAAGGCUGGAGACUGAACCAACCAGGUAAAUGAAGUACCAUUGUGAGGCGGGAUUAAGGGCUGUCCUGAGGUAGGGUGCAUAAAUUUACAAUGAGAGAAUCAGAAUAAUUAUGUGUUUUUCUCCAGCCACAUUAGGGCCAUGGAGGCAGGUAUGUGGAGGGUGGAGUUUCCAGGGUUUAGGUUUUGCGAGAUGAAUGUGAUGAAAUAAGAGAGGGGCCAUGGCGUUCUUGGUUUGGCUGAGGGCAUUAUUAUAAAGGAGAAGCUUGGAAUUUUAAAUAUAAAAUCGACUCGACAGCAGCUAACAACAAGAAGUAGGGAAAUGGGAAUGUGAGGGGUGCAGACACAGCCAAAAUAGAUUUUUUAAAAACCUCUUUUCAGAAAAAGGUAAAAUUCUGACUCAUAAAAUACAAGAAACAGCAGACAGAGCAUUUUUCUUUUUCUUUUUUUCAUGGAAGGAACUUAUUUUCUCUUCCUCACUUCAAUAUUUGGAUUUGUUGUUGUUGCUGUGAAAAUGUAUUUGGGAGGACAUAACCUGCAUUGCUUUUACACAAGCGUAAACAGGACUCUAGUACUUUCUUAGCCCUGAGAUGUUUUCUCUGACAUGAACUUCAGUGGGGACCCAAACACAGGAAUGCGCAGGGGAUAGUGGCUCUAGCCUUUGGCCUAGAGAGGAGGUGCUGUUCCGGGGCAGCAGUAAAGGCAUUUGGGAGUCAGGGUUGACGCAGGUUAGAGAGGGUCGGAUGGGACUGCAAAUGACCACGUAGUGAUGCCCAGGGUGAGGGCUGAAAGGAAAUUUGAAGGAAGUGAGAGGAAAGGGCAGGAGGCCUGCUCUCUUUUGGAGCCAAAGGAGGCCCAGCUGCCGAUUUUCUGACUACUUCUUGUCAACUUUUUUGCGUGAUCAAAACAAAUAAACCACAGCAAUCUCUGUGACAGUGUCUAGGAAGUGAGACCUUCCCCCACCUCUGCCCUGGUAAGAGGUUUAUAUCUGGGGUCACAUUAUUUUGAGAGGAUAUCUUGAUUUUGGAACACAGCAGUUUGUUCUACUAUCUUCGAUGUGAUGGUGCUGAUGGUGAGAGUGAAGUUGGCCUCAGACCACUGCCACUGAAGCAGGCGGGCACCCCACCAAUGCGGGUGGAAGCGAAGUCAAUCAGGGCCUUAGGGGUCUGUCUAGGUUAAGUGGCCUCACAGGUCACUGUAGAAAAGACUCUGACUGGCUCUUCAGCUGAUACUGUCCCGCAGGGAGACACCUGUGGCUCAGGAGACUGUGUCACCGCCAUCUGCUGGCAACAACCUGCACUUACAGGCACACGGGAUGAUGCAGAGAUUCUGUGCAACCAGGGGUAGAAGAAACAGUGAAGCCAAAACAGUCUAACUGUGAUAGGUGGACAGGCCUGCGUUGCUGCAGCAUUUAUUUCAUAACUCAUUUUAAAAUUGUACCUCUGAAUGGAAGCAUUACUCUGAAGACAAAACUCCAUCUAUAGGUUUGCAAAUAUCUUCUCCCCAAGGGCAGAGCAGAGGAGGAGCCUGAGGGUUUGGAUGGUGUCAUCAUUCUGCAGCUUCUCUCUUGUGUGAUGUUGCUCAGGUUCCACCAUCCAGAAAAGGUUCCAUUUAUGAGGUUCAGGUCAGCAGGGCUGAGCCCAGGGUGGGGUGGUGGUAAGGGGACAUUUAUCCCAAGAGACAGGGAAUAUGAAGGUGAAGCCCUAGAGGACAGGAUUGUGGGAAAAAAUUUUGUAGGGUGUUCUCUUCUGAUUUACUUUUCGUACAUGGCAGUUAUGGCCACCUAUUAUCUUGAAUUCUCUGCCCAAAACUAAGGUUUAUCUAGUGAUGUGGCGCCAAUGUUUUAUGCUGGGCUACUUACAGGAAAGUUAGAGGUUCAAAUCUACCUGUGGGGCCUUGGAAGAAAGGCCUGGCAAUCAUCUUUUGUAAGAUUAAAAACUGUUUGAGGUUCAGUUGAUUUUGACUUAUAGUGACCCCACAUGUGUCAGAGUAUUACUGUGACCCAUAGUGUUUUUAAUUUUUAGAGGUAGAUUGCCAGGUUAUUUUUUUUUUUUUUCCUUUGAGGUCACUUUUGGUAGACUAGGAGCUGAGGAUAUUAACUGUUACAUGCUAUUUUUAAUUAAUUUUUUUUUUUUUUGGUUGUUUCACAUGUAAGGGUAAACCUUGUCCUUGUCAUUCUAUCUAGCCUGCAAGUAGGAGUCUCUCUUCCACUGAGAUUUAAAAUUUUUGUAAUUGUGUAUCUAAUUUCUAGAAAUUCAGUUGGUUCUUUUUCACAUGUGAAGUGUCCCCUUUUUAGUUUCCUGUAGUUUGUCAUUUAUUUAUUAAAAAAAAAAAACUCAUGUAAUGCCCAAAUCUGAAGUAUGUGUAAAACUCCUUUUGUUCUCUGUUAUUUGUGUUGCAUCACAUUUGUACUCAUAUCCUAUUGCUGUUGUGGUUAGGUGCCACCAAAUAGGUUCCAACUCAUAGUGACCACAUGAACAACAGAAUGAAACACUCCCUGGUCCUACGCCAUUGUCACAAUCUUUGCUAUCCUAAGCCCAUUGUUGAAGCCACUGUGUCAGUCCAUCUUAUUUAGGGUCUUCCUCUUUUUUUUUUGCUGACCCUCUGUUGUACCAAGCGUGAUGUCCUUCUUCUAGGACUGGUCCUUCCUGAUAAUGUGUUUAAAGUAAGAAAGAUGAAGUCUCACCAUCCUGGCAUCUAAGGAGCAUUCUGGCUGUAAUUCUUCCAAGACGGAUUGUUUCCUUCUUCUGGCAGUUUGUGGUAUAUUCAACACCAUAAUUAAAAAGCAUCACUUCUUCUUUGGUCUUCCUUAUUCAUUGGCCAUCUUUUGCAUGUGUAUGAGGCAAUUGAAAAUACCAUGAUUUGGGCAGCCUAAUAUUAGUUAGUGACCAUAAAUAAAUAAAUAAAUAAGAACAACCCAUUGCCGUCCAGUUGAUUCUGACUUACAGCGACCUUAUAGGACAGAGUAGAACUGCCACAUAGGGUUUCCAAGGAGUGACUAGUGGAUUCAAACUGCCAACCUUUUGGCUAGCAGCCAUAGGUCCUACUGACAUGUUUGCUUUUCAACACUUUAAAGAGGUCUUUUGCAGCUAAUUUGUCCAAUGUAAUACAUUGUUUGAUUUCUUGACUGCUGCUUCCCUGGGCAUUGAGUUUGGAUCCAAAGAAAAUGAAAUCCUUGACAACUUCAAUAUUUUCUCCAUUUAACAUGAUGUUACUUAUUGGUGCAGUUGUGAGGAUUUUUGUUUUCUUUAUGUGAGUCGUAAUCCAUUCUGAAGGCUGUAGUUUUUGAUCUUCAUCAGUAAGUGCUUCAAAUCUGUGCAUUCAGCAAGGAAGGUUAUACUAGUUAUCUUUUGUUCUUGGAUGUCAAGAAUCUCUGACUUCUUGGUGAUAUUGGCUCUUGAAAAAUUAUAUGUGAGGUUUCCUGAAGGUUUAUGAUGGGUGUGCCCUCUUCCAGAGGAGCUUCCAUUUGUUGGCCCUACCAGUGCAACUACCUUAAAACAACUUCAAGACUGAAGAGUUCCAGGCACACCAAGGCCAUGCAUACCUGGAAUGAAACCCCUUGAAGAGUUCAUGUUCAAUCACAAUUUCAUAAGGAAAUCCUGUAUUUUUUUUUUUUUCCUGUCCAUUUCCACAAUAAUUCUAGAGCCAUCUUAUCAGUUCCUGGUAGUGGUGGACAUGACAGAUUCCACUUUCUGUUUGGCUCACACUUACUUUGAGAUUUGAGCCCUCCUGGACCCUAGCUCAAUAGGGUCUCCGGGGGCUUUCCACAAGGGUAAAUUCUGGGCUUGUCUUCCAUUUCUCUGGACCUGGUGUACCCCUGAAAUCCUAUCUCAAGUGUUAGAAUUGUCUUUAAAGCAUCCUUCAGGAUAAAAGAGUCUUUAGAGCUCAGGCAUUUUCUAGCUGUAAUUUUUUAUCAAAAAUUGAAGCAGAAAUUUUCCCUUUCAUCCCUUUCCCUUGUUAUUGUUUUUCCAGCAUUUUUUAUUAUUUCACAAAACUGUUGUUUUGAGGAAACUAGUCCAUCAUUUAUGGAACCUGAGCCCAUUUAAAAUUGUUUCUGAGUUAAAACAGAAGCUAUUCUUUAGAUCAUGGGUGUUUCAGGCAGUUUGUGAUCAGCUGCAAAAGAUAGGCAGUUUGAAUUCGCCUAGUGGUACCAUGGAAGAAAAGCCUGGCGAGCUGCCUCUAUAAAGAAUACAGGCAAGAAAACCCUACGGAGCAGUUCUACUCUGUAACACUAGGGGUCUCCAUGAGUUGAAAUCGAUAGGAUUGCAACAAGUUUUUUUUGUUUGUUUCUUUAACUUGAUAUUAGAGCUUCUAAGUAACUUCUGUGUCUUUUCUGGUCAUACAACUAUACUUUCUGUGAUAAUAUUUUUGGCUUUUAAUGUAUAUUGGUUAGUUUCACAACUCAGUGCUCAUGAAA